GUGAAAUUGUUGAAAGGGAAACGAUUGAAGUCAGUCGUACCGACGAGAAAUCAGCUUUUCGAAUGUGCAUUUGUGGGCGUAUGAGAUCUUCAUUGUUUGCAAUAUGUAUGUUUCUUUGGUGUAUUUUUUCGUAUGGUAGGUCAAUGUCGGUUUUGAUCGCCAUAAAAUGAUCGGAGGAAUGUAGCUUCGGCCUCGGUUGAAGUGUUACAGCCUUUGGUAAAUGUGGUGAUUAGGACCGAGGAUUGCAACGAAUACCUUUUAGGCUAUCCGUUUGACUUCUGAAAGUUACUUAGGUGCCAAAACAAGCUUAAAGCAUCUAAGUUGACGGUCAAAAGGUUUUUAGAACGUGAUUAUAUUUGUUAAGGAUGUUGACGUAAUGGCUUUAAACGAC
rnacentral:rRNA from 1 species